GAAAUCYUACUACCCUGACAUGCCAUAAGAAGCAGAGAGCUUAGUGCUGAAGAGAAAGUGGACACAGUGUGCAUGGCGUCGUCAGYUGUGUCGUGAGAUGUGGUUAAUCCCGCAACGAGCGCAACCGUUGUYUUAGUUGUACGAAAGGGCACUCUAGAGAGACUGCCGGGACAAACCGGAGGAAGGUGGGGAGACGUCAAGUCCUCAUGGCCCUUAUGGGUAGGGCUMCACACGUCAUACAAUGGUGCAAACAGAGGGUUGCCAAGCCGCGAGGUGGAGCUAUCCCAGAUAAUGCAUCGUAGUCCGGAUCGUAGUCUGCAACUCGACUACGUGAAGCUGGAAUCGCUAGUAAUCGCGGAUCAGCAUGCCGCGGUGAAUACGUUCCCGGGUCUUGUACACACCGCCCGUCACACCAUGGGAGUGGGCUUCACCAGAAGUAGUUAGCCU
rnacentral:rRNA from 1 species